rnacentral:rRNA from 1 species
AAACUGAGGAUAAUACCGGAUAGGCAAUUAUUCCUGUAAUGGUUUUUUGUUUAAAUGUUUUUUCGCCUAAGGAUGGGUCUGCGGCCGAUUAGGUAGUUGGUUAGGUAAUGGCUUACCAAGCCGUUGAUCGGUACGGGUUGUGAGAGCAAGAACCCGGAGAUGGAACCUGAGACAAGGUUCCAGGCCCUACGGGGUGCAGCAGGCGCGAAACCUCCGCAAUGUGAGAAAUCGCGACGGGGGGAUCCCAAGUGCCAUUCUUAACGGGAUGGCUUUUCAUUAGUGUAAAAAGCUUUUGGAAUAAGAGCUGGGCAAGACCGGUGCCAGCCGCCGCGGUAACACCGGCAGCUCUAGUGGUAGCAAUUUUUAUUGGGCCUAAAGCGUCCGUAGCCGGUUUAAUAAGUCUCUGGUGAAAUCCUGUAGCUUAACUGUGGGAAUUGCUGGAGAUACUAUUAGACUUGAGACCGGGAGAGGUUAGAGGUACUCCCAGGGUAGAGGUGAAAUUCUGUAAUCCUG